rnacentral:rRNA from 1 species
UAUUGGACAAUGGGCGAAAGCCUGAUCCAGCAAUGCCGCGUGAGUGAUGAAGGCCUUAGGGUUGUAAAGCUCUUUUACCCGGGAUGAUAAUGACAGUACCGGGAGAAUAAGCUCCGGCUAACUCCGUGCCAGCAGCCGCGGUAAUACGGAGGGAGCUAGCGUUAAUCGGAAUUACUGGGCGUAAAGCGUGCGCAGGCGGUUAUAUAAGACAGAUGUGAAAUCCCCGGGCUCAACCUGGGACCUGCAUUUGUGACUGUAUAGCUAGAGUACGGUAGAGGGGAUGGAAUUCCGCGUGUAGCAGUGAAAUGCGUAGAUAUGCGGAGGAACACCGAUGGCGAAGGCAAUCCCCUGGACCUGUACUGACGCUCAUGCACGAAA